rnacentral:rRNA from 1 species
UACGUAGGGUGCGAGCGUUAAUCGGAAUUACUGGGCGUAAAGCGUGCGCAGGCGGUUUUUUAAGCCAGGUGUGAAAUCCCCGGGCUCAACCUGGGAAUGGCAUUUGGGACUGCAAGGCUGGAGUGUGGCAGAGGAGACUGGAGUUCCUGGUGUAGCAGUGAAAUGCGUAGAUAUCGGGAGGAACACCAGUGGCGAAGGCGACUACCUGGCCUGUUCUUGACGCUGAGGCGCGAAAGCUGGGGGAGCAAACGGG